rnacentral:rRNA from 1 species
GGCGAACGGGUGAGUAACGCGUGGGUAAUCUAUCCUUGAAUUCGGGAUAACUGACCGAAAGGUGAGCUAAUACCGGGUAACAUCGCGUAUGCCUUGGCGGAUGCGAUCAAAGGCAGCCUCUACAUGUAAGCUGUUGUUCAGGGAGGAGCCCGCGUACCAUUAGCUUGUUGGUGAGGUAAGAGCUUACCAAGGCGACGAUGGUUAGCUGGUCUGAGAGGAUGAUCAGCCACACUGGAACUGACACACGGUCCAGACUCCUACGGGAGGCAGCAGUGAGGAAUUUUGCGCAAUGGGGGCAACCCUGACGCAGCAACGCCGCGUGAGUGAAGAAGGCCUUCGGGUCGUAAAGCUCUGUCGAGUGGGAAGAACCUGUGAUAUGUUAAUGACAUGUCGCACUGACGGUACCAUUAGAGGAAGCACCGGCUAACUCCGUGCCAGCAGCCGCGGUAAUACGGAGGGUGCGAGCGUUAUUCGGAAUUAUUGGGCGUAAAGGGCGAGUAGGCGGCCUUGUAAGUCAGAUGUGAAAGCCCGGGGCUUAACCCCGGAAGUGCAUUUGAAACUACGGGGCUUGAGUAUGGGAGAGGGAAGUGGAAUUCCUGGUGUAGCGGUGAAAUGCGUAGAUCUCAGGAGGAACACCGGUGGCGAAGGCGACUUCCUGGACCAAUACUGACGCUGAGGCGCGAAGGCGUGGGGAGCAAACAGGAUUAGAUACCCUUGGUAGUCCACGCAGUAAACGGUGAUCACUUAGGUGUAGCGGG